ACUCAAAUGAAUAGACGGGGGCCCGCACAAGCGGAGGAACAUGUGGUUUAAUUCGAUGAUACGCGAGGAACCUUACCCGGGCUUGAAAUGCGGACGACCGGCGGUGAGACCCGCCUUCCUUUCGGGGCGUCCGCGUAGGUGCUGCAUGGUUGUCGUCAGCUCGUGCCGUGAGGUGUCGGCUUAAGUGCCAUAACGAGCGCAACCCUCAUCGUUAGUUGCCAUCAGGUUAUGCUGGGGACUCUAGCGAGACUGCCAUCGUAAGGUGCGAGGAAGGUGGGGAUGACGUCAAAUCAGCACGGCCCUUAUGUCCGGGGCGACACACGUGUUACAAUGGGCGGUACAAAGGGUUGCCACCCGGUGACGGGGCGCCAAUCCCCAAAACCGCUCUCAGUUCGGAUCGGAGUCUGCAACUCGACUUCGUGAAGCUGGAUUCGCUAGUAAUCGCGCAUCAGCCACGGCGCGGUGAAUACGUUCCCGGGCCUUGUACACACCGCCCGU
rnacentral:rRNA from 1 species